rnacentral:rRNA from 1 species
GAUGAACGCUGGCGGCGUGCCUAAUACAUGCAAGUCGAGCGAACGGACGAGAAGCUUGCUUCUCUGAUGUUAGCGGCGGACGGGUGAGUAACACGUGGAUAACCUACCUAUAAGACUGGGAUAACUUCGGGAAACCGGAGCUAAUACCGGAUAAUAUUUUGAACCGCAUGGUUCAAAAGUGAAAGACGGUCUUGCUGUCACUUAUAGAUGGAUCCGCGCUGCAUUAGCUAGUUGGUAAGGUAACGGCUUACCAAGGCAACGAUGCAUAGCCGACCUGAGAGGGUGAUCGGCCACACUGGAACUGAGACACGGUCCAGACUCCUACGGGAGGCAGCAGUAGGGAAUCUUCCGCAAUGGGCGAAAGCCUGACGGAGCAACGCAGCGUGAGUGAUGAAGGUCUUCGGAUCGUAAAACGCUGUUAUUAGGGAAGAACAUAUGUGUAAGUAACUGUGCACAUCUUGACGGUACCUAAGCAGAAAGCCACGGCUAACUACGU